AUGGCGUGCGUUACAUCUGUUAAGUACUCUGUGAAAUUUAAUGGCAAGUUACUGGAGCCUUUCUCCCCCUCAAGAGGGCUUCGCCAAGGUGACCCCUUAUCACCCUUUCUCUUUCUCUUUGUGGCUGAUGCUUUAUCUACCCUGGUACACAAAUCUGUGAGAGAACAGGGCCUACAAGGGGUCAAGAUAUGCAGGACUGCUCCGGUCAUCUCACAUUUGUUGUUUGCAGACAACUCAAUUCUGUUUUUUCAAGCUUCGGAACAGCAAGUUAAUUUGGUUAAGAGUGUGUUGAACAUGUAUUCGACGGCGACUGGACAAUUAAUUAACCCGUCGAAGUGCUCCAUUCUCUUCUCUGAAAAUUGUUUGCCAACUGUGGUACAUGAGGUUAAGUCGGUCUUGGAGAUAACCCAGGAAGUUUUUGAGCCUAAGUACUUGGGCCUCCCGGUCCCGGAGGGAAGAUUACAUAAAGGUAACUUUGAAACAAUCCAGUAUCGGUUACGCAAGAAACUUAUUGAUUGGAGUGAGCAAUAUGUGUCAUCUGGGAAUAAGGAGAUUUUGAUCAAGGCUGUCGCACAGGCUAUACCUACUUAUGUCAUGAGUGUCUUUAAAUUACCUGUAUCAGUAUGUGAUGAGCUCACUCGUAUGAUCCGCCAGUAUUGGUGGGGCGUCGAGAACGGGAAGAAGAAGAUGGCAUGGAUGAGUUGGGAUAAUUUGCGACUACCGAAGCAGAUGGGUGGCAUGGGGUUUAAGGAUAUGAGGGCUUUCAAUCAAGCCUUACUGGCCAAACAAGCUUGGCAUUUACUUGACACGCCAGAUAGCCUAUGCGCACGUCUCACGAAGGCUCGAUACUACCCGUCUGGUCAACUGUUGGAUACCUCGUUUUCUGGCAACGGUUCUUCAUUUUGGAAGGGUAUCCUUCAUGGUCUUGAUCUGCUG
rnacentral:rRNA from 1 species